UGGACAGGUCUUGGAACAUUAUUUCCACAGUCAGAACACCCGCACUCUGGGUCAGGACAACAAAAGUAGUGUCUUGAUCUCAUUAAACAAACUCAAGUGCCCCCAAUAUAAAACUGUUUUUUUUUCCCCACAACAGUACUUAAUUUCCACUUUUAGCUUUUAUUCUGACAACAAAUGGACACUUUUUUUGGGCCACACCUCAAGGCUUGCAGGAACUUAGUUCCUGACCAGGGAUGGAACCCAGACCUCCUGCAGUGGAAGCGCAAAGUCCUAACCACUGGACCGACAGGGAAUUCCAACAAAUGGACACUUAAGUUCCACUGAUGACCACGAACUGGAAGAUGCCAAGAAAAAGAGGCUGUGAGGAGCCAGAGUUGAAGCUUAGGGGUUGUGUGAAGAGGAGUUUUGAGGAAGAGUGGGGGCCAAGAAGAUGCUGGAGAGUCCAAAUUAUGAGGAAGGCAGAGAAGCGG